UCGACCUAUCAGCCGGAGCUCACGUCUCCGAAUGUGACAUGGCGCCUGAGAAGGAAGUUUGUAGUUAAAUAAAUGUUGAUGUUAUUUUUAUGACAGUAAAUCAGCAACAGGGCUGCAAUUGGAGCCACACAUAUUUCAUAGAUACUUGCAUUGAUGGUAAUGCAUGCAAGGAAACCUCAGAGGAUUUCCGAUGGGUACUUUGAAAAACACCAAGCCCAUCCCUAUCAGAAUUCGAAGUACAGCAGCUCUAAAAGCUACGAUGGACGAUAUAACCACGAGAGAGUGCGAGAUUCACCCAAUGGGAACUCGUAUCGUUCAGAUAGCCCAGAUUCACAAAGUCCAAGAGAUAGGAAUUACCAAGCAAAAAAUUCAUACUUACAGAAAAUUCGUGAGAAGGAGAGAGAAAACAGAGACUACAAAUCAAGAGACAAAUAUUCCGACUGUGCCAGGUCUCCAAAAGAUAAAAGGAGCAGGGAAAGCCGUGAUUCAGAACACAGGACUAAUCAUGACAGGAGCAGUACAGAGAAAAUUAUACUACAUCCGAUUAAACUAGCAACACAGAAUUCAACCUCACGAGAUUCAUCACAGCGCAAACUUCCUCAUAAUUCCUGUCAGGAUAAACGUGAAGAGAGAGAGAGAAUUGCACGUGUUGGUGAUUGGUCAGAGCACAUCAGCUCUUCUGGGAAGAAAUAUUAUUACAAUUGCAAGACAGAAGUUUCGCAAUGGGAAAAACCUCGUGAAUGGAUUGAACGAGAGAGGUGUCGUGAGAAGACAAGGGAGUCAGAUCGCAGCUACAGCAGUACCAGCCGAUCAUCUCAUGAUAAACAUUCCAACUCACGAAGCACUUCACUGAGUAACUCACGGGACAGCAGUUCCAAAAGACAGCCGGAGAAGCGUGAUUCCUACUGGGCUAGCCAGCAGCAGCAACAGCAGCAGCCACAACAGCAACAGUCACAACAGCAGCAGUUGCAGGUUCCACCAACUAUCGUGGUUGAUGGUGAUGAUCGUGCACUGCGAAAGCAACCUGUGCCUCAGAGCCAGUCUCAGCAACAGGUGCAACAGCAGCAGCAACCACCUCACCAUCACCACCACCACCAUCACCACCACCAGCAUCACCACCACCAUCACCAGCAGCAGCAGCAACAGCAGUCACAGCAACAGGUUGCACAAGUGCAGCAGCAAGUAACACCACCACAGCAGCAACAGCAGCAGCAGCAACAAUCACAGCAACAGCAGGCACAACAGUCACAACAACAGCCGCAGCAGCAAACAUCACAAGUGCAAGAUGGUGAUGGGCAGCAGGCUGCACAGGAUAUGGACAUAUCUCCUGGUGACAGCACACCCACAUCUGAGGCAUCCUAUGGUCAUACACCAGAUGCGGGAUCUGCCAGUGCUGCUGCAAGCUCAACACCUUCUCAUUCACAGGGUCCUGUACUGUUAGCUGCAGUCCUACCUAGGUUGUCGUCGCAACCACCUGCAGUAGUACCUCCACCACAGGCCCCAACCCCAACCUGCAAUGUUCCUGGCCCACCUAGCAACCUCGUUAGUCUACCACGAAUACUAUCACAGAUUGCAGGCGGCAAGGCUCUUGAACAGUCAGAUGUCUUGCAGCAGAAAACCUUGCAGAGCUUGCAGAAUGUGCUGCUUCUCACAAAUCAGCGUAGUGCUACAGAGCCACUGAAAGUGGACACUAGUGGCCCUGCCAGCAUGGGAGAGGGACCUCCCACUCCUACACACUCCGAGAGCCAGGACUGUGUGGACGCUAGAAAAUUGGCAAGUCCGCCCAGUAACCUGAGCUCCUUGCAGAAUUUGGGCACAGUAGGCAGUUGCAGUUCUUUACAUGCACUGCGUCCACAAGGGACCCAUUUGACACCAAGUCUGUUGAACCAUUAUCGUGACGACUUGGUCAAUCAUGUACGUGGCUGGCCUGCUGAUGCUUUGGAAAAGCAGGCUCAAAAAUUAAGUGAAGAAGGUUAUACAAUGGGAAGCUUGCAGUGUACACGAGUAUCGGCAGAACUGAAAACUGCAAGGUCUAUUGUUCGACUUACUGAAAUCCAAGCGACGCUGCAAGAGCAAAGGAUAUUGUUCUUGCGUCAACAAAUCGAGACUUUGGAACAAUUGAAAUCUCAGAAUUCCUUUAUGUCUGAUGAUUCGUAGUGCAGUAUGUGGAAGUGUGUGUGUGUGAUAUCACCGCACAAUAAGGAAGUGGUUGCUCUCGCAGGGAAACUUUCUCCAUUAUUGUUCCUGCUGGCUACAGAUGGAGACUAAGUGGACUUCUUUUAUGUAAAGGUUAUAUAUUUCUUGGAUUGCAUGUAUGCUGGGAAGAUUACUGAAAUUAGCUUUCCUGUGCUGUUGAGCUGCUUCAAGUAGUACUACAUAUGCACUGAAAUUCAGAUGCUAGAUGAGUCGUAAAUUAUUUAAUACUGUUGCAACCUGUAUUAAUUUUUUUACACUGACAUUCUGUAUGUGUGGCUGCUUGCAAGCUAGGUUUGGUUGGAGGACAAAGCCCUGCAGACAACUUGAAAUGGUCAGGCGACCUAAUGAUUUAAGUUAGCUUUUUGUACAUAACAAUAAAAUGAAAUAGUUGUAUGGACUUCUCAAGUUUCUCUUGCACUUCAUAUGUGUAUAUAGUUAUGAAAUGUGUGAGGUACGAUGACUGUGUUACAAAUUCCUGCUUAUGAAGCAAAGCAACUUGUAUAUGUUGUUAAUGUGGAAUCAUCCUCCAUGGUUACUAAAAAAAAAUGUUGAUUCUUCUUGUCUGCAGUUCUUGAGGAGUCCAUAAUUUUUCAGUUAGUGACGUCAUAUUGUUGAUACAAUAAAGGAAAAAAAUCUGAAAAAGAAAUUCGGAGAUACUUUCAAUUGCCUCUGUAAGUGUAGUAGUCUAAAAUUUCUUGUUACCAGAGUUUUCCCCAGUAUCGAAAUUUUUAUCUACUUGUCUGUACAUAAAAUUAAAUGCUCCUGGCUUUUAAAAAUGAUUUGAAUGUUAGAAUAUUUUACCUCUUGUUCUGUGCAGAGACAGUAAAGCAAUGGUAUGCGAAAAAGUGUACACACAUUUCUGUAUAAAUCUUGAUCAAGGAGACUGUAAAAUAAAUAUACAAUCUUAUAUGAACAGUCUUUAAGCAUGCUGUACAGAGAUUUUAGUGUCAUUUGUUUCCAUUGGAAACAUUUUGUGAAGACUGCUGUUGCCGUUGGCACCAAGAAUUGAAAUAAUAUUGAAGUCAUUAAGCAAUCCUGGGUAUUUAAUAACACAAUUCCUAUUGUUACUAUUGUUGUCAUUAUUGUUGCUGUAUCACUGUGGUAUCCACUUCGAUAAUGUUUUCUUUCCAGAGGUGAGAAUUUAUUGUUCUACUUGGGAGUUUCAUAAAGUUUGGUUAAAUGUGAUCAUUGGUAACAGUGUACAUAUCUGAAAGGUCUUUAAAGUUGACUGUUUGUUUUGAAAGUUUUUUUUGGAUUCUGACAUAAUUAUUUGUAGUUUGUUGAUGAGCAAGAUUAUUAGCAUUUGAAUGUUUGGAGUUUUUGCUUUGUGGAGGUAGAUUUAGUUCUAGCAUUAUUUGAUGGGACAAGUAGAAAAAAUUAAACCAUUUGUGUAAUUUACACAAAUCUUUUUGCUACAGUCACUGUUGAGAAAUAGCUACAUGAUAUGUCAGAAUUCUUUUCCAAGAAUAAUUAUUUAUACUCUGUAUGCAGAUAGCAGUUUUUUAUUGACUGUUAUCAUUUGUCAAAGACUUUUUUUUCUCCUCUGCAGUAAAUAGACUGUUUUAUUGCAUUUAAUCUAAGAGUAAAUGUUAGGUACCUGGGCCCACAGCCUGUGGUGUUUAGAAGGAAUAAUUUUAAUUAAACAAUCUGUUUGUUGUUCUCCAA
rnacentral:misc_RNA from 1 species